ACCUCGGNAUCAGGUAGGAAUACCCGCUGAACUUAAGCAUAUCAAUAAGCGGGAGGA
rnacentral:rRNA from 1 species